GUACUCGCUUCGGCGGUACAUAUACUAAAAUUGGAACGAUACAGAUAAGAUUAGCAUGGCCCCUGCGCAAGGAUGGCACGCAAAAUCGUGCAGCGUUCCACAUUUUA